UACGGGGGGAGCAAGCGUUGUUCGGAUUUACUGGGCGUAAAGGGCGCGUAGGCGGUCAGCACAAGUCAGUUGUGAAAUCUCCGAGCUUAACUCGGAAAGGUCAACUGAUACUGUGCGACUAGAGUGCAGAAGGGGCAACUGGAAUUCUCGGUGUAGCGGUGGAAUGCGUAGAUAUCGAGAGGAACACCUGCGGCGAAGGCGGGUUGCUGGGCUGACACUGACGCUGAGGCGCGAAAGCUAGGGGAGCGAACGGG
rnacentral:rRNA from 1 species